GACGAACGCUGGCGGCGUGCUUAAUACAUGCAAGUCGAGCGAAUGGAUUAAGAGCUUGCUCUUAUGAAGUUAGCGGCGGACGGGUGAGUAACACGUGGGUAACCUGCCCAUAAGACUGGGAUAACUCCGGGAAACCGGGGCUAAUACCGGAUAACAUUUUGAACCGCAUGGUUCGAAAUUGAAAGGCGGCUUCGGCUGUCACUUAUGGAUGGACCCGCGUCGCAUUAGCUAGUUGGUGAGGUAACGGCUCACCAAGGCAACGAUGCGUAGCCGACGUGAGAGGGUGAUCGGCCACACUGGGACUGAGACACGGCCCAGACUCCUACGGGAGGUAGCAGUAGGGAAUCUUCCGCAAUGGACGAAAGUCUGACGGAGCAACGCCGCGUGAGUGAUGAAGGCUUUCGGGUCGUAAAACUCUGUUGUUAGGGAAGAACAAGUGCUAGUUGAAUAAGCUGGCACCUUGACGGUACCUAACCAGAAAGCCACGGCUAACUACGUGCCAGCAGCCGCCGUAA
rnacentral:rRNA from 1 species